rnacentral:rRNA from 1 species
GGUUAAGCGACUAAGCGUACACGGUGGAUGCCCUGGCAGUCAGAGGCGAUGAAGGACGUGCUAAUCUGCGAUAAGCGCCGGUAAGGUGAUAUGAACCGUUAUAACCGGCGAUUUCCGAAUGGGGAAACCCAGUGUGAUUCGUCACACUAUCAUUAACUGAAUCCAUAGGUUAAUGAGGCGAACCGGGGGAACUGAAACAUCUAAGUACCCCGAGGAAAAGAAAUCAACCGAGAUUCCCCCAGUAGCGGCGAGCGAACGGGGAGGAGCCCAGAGCCUGAAUCAGCAUGUGUGUUAGUGGAAGCGUCUGGAAAGGCGCGCGAUACAGGGUGACAGCCCCGUACACAAAAGCGCAUGUGCUGUGAGCUCGAUGAGUAGGGCGGGACACGUGGUAUCCUGUCUGAAUAUGGGGGGACCAUCCUCCAAGGCUAAAUACUCCUGACUGACCGAUAGUGAACCAGUACCGUGAGGGAAAGGCGAAAAGAACCCCGGCGAGGGGAGUGAAAAAGAACCUGAAACCGUGUACGUACAAGCAGUGGGAGCACAGGUUUACCUGUGUGACUGCGUACCUUUUGUAUAAUGGGUCAGCGACUUAUAUUCUGUAGCAAGGUUAACCGAAUAGGGGAGCCGGAGGGAAACCGAGUCUUAAUUGGGCGUUAAGUUGCAGGGUAUAGACCCGAAACCCGGUGAUCUAGCCAUGGGCAGGUUGAAGGUUGGGUAACACUAACUGGAGGACCGAACCGACUAAUGUUGAAAAAUUAGCGGAUGACCUGUGGCUGGGGGUGAAAGGCCAAUCAAACCGGGAGAUAGCUGGUUCUCCCCGAAAGCUAUUUAGGUAGCGCCUCGUGAAUUCAUCUCCGGGGGUAGAGCACUGUUUCGGCUAGGGGGCCAUCCCGGCUUACCAACCCGAUGCAAACUGCGAAUACCGGAGAAUGUUAUCACGGGAGACACACGGCGGGUGCUAACGUCCGUCGUGAAGAGGGAAACAACCCAGACCGCCAGCUAAGGUCCCAAAGUCAUGGUUAAGUGGGAAACGAUGUGGGAAGGCCCAGACAGCCAGGAUGUUGGCUUAGAAGCAGCCAUCAUUUAAAGAAAGCGUAAUAGCUCACUGGUCGAGUCGGCCUGCGCGGAAGAUGUAACGGGGCUAAACCAUGCACCGAAGCUGCGGCAGCGAACGUAUCACUUAAAGCGAUUCAGCGGGUUACGAUUGACGGAGCGAAGCGACGUCAAAGCGUAUACAAAGUCGAGUCGGUUUAAGGAUACGUUCGUUGGGUAGGGGAGCGUUCUGUAAGCCUGUGAAGGUGGCCUGUGAGGGUUGCUGGAGGUAUCAGAAGUGCGAAUGCUGACAUAAGUAACGAUAAAGCGGGUGAAAAGCCCGCUCGCCGGAAGACCAAGGGUUCCUGUCCAACGUUAAUCGGGGCAGGGUGAGUCGACCCCUAAGGCGAGGCCGAAAGGCGUAGUCGAUGGGAAACAGGUUAAUAUUCCUGUACUUGGUGUUACUGCGAAGGGGGGACGGAGAAGGCUAUGUUGGCCGGGCGACGGUUGUCCCGGUUUAAGCGUGUAGGCUGGUUUUCCAGGCAAAUCCGGAAAAUCAAGGCUGAGGCGUGAUGACGAGGCACUACGGUGCUGAAGCAACAAAUGCCCUGCUUCCAGGAAAAGCCUCUAAGCAUCAGGUAACAUCAAAUCGUACCCCAAACCGACACAGGUGGUCAGGUAGAGAAUACCAAGGCGCUUGAGAGAACUCGGGUGAAGGAACUAGGCAAAAUGGUGCCGUAACUUCGGGAGAAGGCACGCUGACACGUAGGUGAAGUGAUUUACUCACGGAGCUGAAGUCAGUCGAAGAUACCAGCUGGCUGCAACUGUUUAUUAAAAACACAGCACUGUGCAAACACGAAAGUGGACGUAUACGGUGUGACGCCUGCCCGGUGCCGGAAGGUUAAUUGAUGGGGUCAGCGCAAGCGAAGCUCCUGAUCGAAGCCCCGGUAAACGGCGGCCGUAACUAUAACGGUCCUAAGGUAGCGAAAUUCCUUGUCGGGUAAGUUCCGACCUGCACGAAUGGCGUAAUGAUGGCCAGGCUGUCUCCACCCGAGACUCAGUGAAAUUGAACUCGCUGUGAAGAUGCAGUGUACCCGCGGCAAGACGGAAAGACCCCGUGAACCUUUACUAUAGCUUGACACUGAACAUUGAGCCUUGAUGUGUAGGAUAGGUGGGAGGCUUUGAAGCGUGGACGCCAGUCUGCGUGGAGCCGACCUUGAAAUACCACCCUUUAAUGUUUGAUGUUCUAACGUGGACCCGUAAUCCGGGUUGCGGACAGUGUCUGGUGGGUAGUUUGACUGGGGCGGUCUCCUCCUAAAGAGUAACGGAGGAGCACGAAGGUUGGCUAAUCCUGGUCGGACAUCAGGAGGUUAGUGCAAUGGCAUAAGCCAGCUUGACUGCGAGCGUGACGGCGCGAGCAGGUGCGAAAGCAGGUCAUAGUGAUCCGGUGGUUCUGAAUGGAAGGGCCAUCGCUCAACGGAUAAAAGGUACUCCGGGGAUAACAGGCUGAUACCGCCCAAGAGUUCAUAUCGACGGCGGUGUUUGGCACCUCGAUGUCGGCUCAUCACAUCCUGGGGCUGAAGUAGGUCCCAAGGGUAUGGCUGUUCGCCAUUUAAAGUGGUACGCGAGCUGGGUUUAGAACGUCGUGAGACAGUUCGGUCCCUAUCUGCCGUGGGCGCUGGAGAAUUGAGGGGGGCUGCUCCUAGUACGAGAGGACCGGAGUGGACGCAUCACUGGUGUUCGGGUUGUCAUGCCAAUGGCACUGCCCGGUAGCUAAAUGCGGAAAAGAUAAGUGCUGAAAGCAUCUAAGCACGAAACUUGCCCCGAGAUGAGUUCUCCCUGAGACUAUAAGUCUCCUGAAGGAACGUUGAAGACGACGACGUUGAUAGGUCGGGUGUGUAAGCGUAGCGAUACGUUGAGCUAACCGGUACUAAUGAACCGUGAGGCUUAACCUU